CUAAGACCUCUGUUCACCCCUCCCUGUGUGAGGCCCAGGAGGCAUCAGUAAACAGAAACAAGGCCGGCCCUCACACAGCAGGUACACCCCAACAUCUCAACAAAACCUCACACAGGACACACACCCAACAUCGCAACAAAACCUCACACGGCACACACACCCCAACAUCUCAACAAAACCUCACACAGGACACACACCCCAACAUCUCAACAAAACCUCACACGGCACGCACAUCCCAACAUCUCAACAAAACCUCCCACGGCACGUACAACCCAAAAUCUCAACAAAACCUCACACAGCACACACACCCCAACAUCUCAACAAAACCUCACACGGCACACACACCUCAACAUCAACAAAACCUCACACGGCACACACACCCCAACAUCUCAACAAAACCUCACACGGCACGCACACCCCAACAUCUCAACAAAACCUCACACGGCACGUACACCCCAACAUCUCAACAAAACCUCACACGGCACGCACACCCCAACAUCUCAACAAAACCUCACACGGCACGCACACCCCAACAUCUCAACAAAACCUCACACGGCACACACACCCCAACAUCUCAACAAAACCUCCCACAGCACACACAACCCAACAUCAACAAAACCUCACACAGCACACACACCCCAACAUCUCAACAAAACCUCACACGGCACGUACACCCCAACAUCUCAACAAAACCUCACACGGCACGUACACCCCAACAUCUCAACAAAACCUCACACGGCACGCACACCCCAACAUCUCAACAAAACCUCACACGGCACACACACCUCAACAUCAACAAAACCUCACACAGCACACACACCCCAACAUCUCAACAAAACCUCACACAGCACACACACCCCAACAUCAACAAAACCUCACACAGCACACACACCUCAACAUCAACAAAACCUCACACAGCACACACACCCCAACAUCUCAAUAAAACCUCACACGGCACGUACACCCCAACAUCGCAACAAAACCUCACACGGCACACACACCCCAACAUCUCAACAAAACCUCACACGGCACACACACCUCAACAUCAACAAAACCUCACACAGCACACACACCCCAACAUCUCAACAAAACCUCACACGGCACGUACACCCCAACAUCGCAACAAAACCUCACACGGCACGCACACCCCAACAUCUCAACAAAACCUCACACGGCACGUACACCCCAACAUCUCAACAAAAC
rnacentral:lncRNA from 1 species